rnacentral:lncRNA from 1 species
UUAUAUUAAUGCAAGUUUAAAAUAAUCCAAAUAGUGAGAAAUAAAAUUAUUUCCUAGUAAAAUAACAACAACAACAACAACAACUACCCAGUAUAGUCCCACAAAGUGGGAUCUGGGGAGGGUAAUAUGUAGACGAGCCUUACCCCUACCCGAAAGGGCAGAGAGGCUGUUUCCAAUCGAUCAUCGACUCGAUCAUCGACUCAGUGAAGGAAAGGAAAAACAAAAACACAGACAUUCCUAGUAAAAUAAAUACUUAGCAAUUUUUUAUAAAUAAAUAUUUAAUCUUAUACUAUAAUAUAGGUUGAUAAAUCAAAUAAUUUUUUAAUAUUUUUUCAUAUCAGAAUAUUCCUCAAUAUAUGUAUCUUUUAAAAAGAUAGAAUAACGGAUUGAUUUUGAGGAUAUUUUUAUAAACAAGCAAUUCUCUUUGAAAUUGUUAAUGUCAAU